AACGAACGCUGGCGGCAUGCCUAACACAUGCAAGUCGAACGAAGUCUUCGGACUUAGUGGCGCACGGGUGCGUAACGCGUGGGAAUCUGCCCUUGGGUGCGGAAUAACUUCUCGAAAGGGAUGCUAAUACCGCAUAAUGUCGUAAGACCAAAGAUUUAUCGCCCAAGGAUGAGCCCGCGUAAGAUUAGCUAGUUGGUGGGGUAAAAGCCUACCAAGGCGACGAUCUUUAGCUGGUCUGAGAGGAUGAUCAGCCACACUGGGACUGAGACACGGCCCAGACUCCUACGGGAGCAGCAGUGGGGAAUAUUGGACAAUGGGCGAAAGCCUGAUCCAGCAAUGCCGCGUGAGUGAUGAAGGCCCUAGGGUUGUAAAGCUCUUUUACCAGGGAUGAUAAUGACAGUACCGGAGAAUAAGACCCCGGCUAACUCCGUGCCAGCAGCCGCGG
rnacentral:rRNA from 1 species